AAAUGCUUUUAUUAAGGUUGUACCUAUUAUUUUCUAAAUGAACACAAACACAAAAUCUAAUCCAUUUAGCAAUAUUAUAUUUUAACAUAUCACUUACUUUCUCUGCCACUUCUUAUUAGCGUACACUCCAGAAAACUGAAUAAUAACCCAUACCGCACAUACUCUCGGCAUCCUUUAUGACUGUAAAAGGAAUUUGAUUUUUUUCCUGAUGAUAUCACAGCAAUGUAAACAGAGACACCAAAAAACCAGGACUUCAUUUACACAGAAGCUGGGGUCAGCCCAGGGUCUUGGAAGUGGGCGGACCCAUUUGCACACCUGUCUUAGCCCAUGGAUAAGUUUUCUCUCGUUUCUUUCAGUGCCUCCAUAGUAGUUUCUGCAGCCUUUCUUUCCACCCCGGUGGUGAAGCAGAUGGAAUAAGUGUUGAAGUACCAAGUUCCUAUUUCUGCAGAAAGACAAGAAACUCUGUGCUUCAAGGAAGUCCUGAGCAUCCCCGGUGGCCCAACUACAAGACCCUCCUUUGACCGAGUGUGAGGCUGAGACACCUGUGUGAAUAUUUGGGGUCACAUCUGCUAUUCCUAUAAAAUCAGGUGCCUCCCAGAAAUUCUUGCCUGAUUCUUUCUUCUGUACCCCAGUGGUACAAAGCAGGCUACGCCCUAGUGUGUGUGUUUGCCCAACAGUGUGUUAAGAAUCUCCGGAAGAGUGGGGACUGGCUGGCAGGUGCUUCCACUGGCCUCAGAGACUGUGAGAUGGCCAUGAAUCCGAGACUAUGUGAGCCCAACACCCAUGCCAAACUGACCAGCAGCAAUUUGUCACGGCGUCUCACAGAGAAACCUCUGCCAUUUGCCCAAGCUUUUAGUUCUGGACAGAGUGCUGGCAUUGGCUCAGCUCUGUUAAGGACUUCAUGGUGGAUGGAACACAACGGCAAGAAAACAUGCUGGGGGAGAGCCUAUGGUGAGACAAAAAGCCAGAGACCAAGGAGGGAACAUUUCUUGCUCUCUUAUAACAGCACACUCUUGGUUCCACCACCUCCUAAUACCGCCACACUGAGAUCCAAGCUGCCAGGUCAUGGACACAUAUGGGGUCCGUAUGUGUUUGAGCCAUAGGUGGGAUCGGGAGCAGUCAAAGAUGGUAACUUGGCUUUUCUCAUUCUGGGAACAUCUGAUGGAGAAAGUCAAGGCUGCUGGGAUUUGACCGUGGCCUAAGGAUUCUGAAGAACUUCCCUGAAAGUGAAAGUUUUGAAUAAGCCAACAUGGCCGCAGACCUGACAUCCAUUCCAUGUGCGGUCUGACCUGUGGCUUCCAGACUCUUGGAUACGGACAAUCAUGAAAGCCAGAGUCCACAUGCCCUCACUCUUUGAGCUGCUGUUAAUGAAGACACCAACCCCGACGAUGGGUAGAUCCUAAGAGCACCUCCUGUAUCUUCUCCUUGCAGGAAGUGCUCGACCUUUGUCAGCAGAGUGGACCACGUGUGGGGAGAAGACAGCCGACUUGACUUCUGAGGCCACUUUAGACACACUGUGUUUCUAGCUUCUUUUCCCAUUGUUGGUGACACAUCCUGAAGGAAAGACCAAGCAGACUGCUUUUUUGGUUAGGAACAUUUCAAAGUUUAUUUUGAUUCUUCUUCUGACUUACAGAAAUUAUCCAAACAACUUUGGCUACAUCUAUUUUCAUCUGCAUAUGGUAUUUGCAACGACUCCAAAGUGGAAGACGUAUUUACACAAUGACAUUUCCCAUUGCGCGCGAUGCCCUUUGUCUAAACAUCCUGGGACGCAGUCACGUGACCUUUGACGAUCGUGUCUCCUAGGAGAAUCCUGGACAUGCCCUACCAUGUUCCUCUCCCCGCUCGAAGGAGGAACUCUAAAUGCAUGACUCUUAUUUCAAUGACUUUUAACAUUUCUAUUGAGGUUUUUAAAAUAGAGAUGUGCAUUCUUCUUAAUCUUAUGAGUUCUAAUUGAAGAAAUACCAGAAGUGAAUGUUUUAAGGUCCCACGUGUGCCAUCCAGCACAUGGUGAAGAUGUACAAAGUGGAAUUUCAACUCAGUUGUGGCCCCAGCGUGCAACUUGGCUAGAACUACCCCAAUCAGUGGCAAGUCUUAAAAGAUUGUCCCUUUCCUGGGAGACCUGUUCACCCUGUAACUGGGGCUAGGGACGCUAUGGAGCUGACCAAUUUGCUUCCCUGCAGAGUGGAUAGCUUUCUGAUGGUCAGCUUUUUGACUCCUUUGGGAAAAGAUGUGUUAACAGGAGAGAACAAAAGAGUGGAAGAAAGUCCUCUCGUUGGAGAACGUGGUGGGCACCAAAGUGUGGAAGUGUGUUCAGCCCUGUUCGUCUGCCUCUGGGUAGGACAGCUGGCCUGGCCCUAGGGAAUCGUCAAGAAGCUAAUGAGUGUUAGUCAUGGCAUGAGGACUUUGCAUGUUCAUCUUCUCAGAGGCAAAGCCCAGGGCAUCAAAAGCCAGGACACUUCUCUGAUUUGUCCUCCUAUCUCAGAAAAGGUCAGAAAGACAGGAGCAAAGGAGUCAUUCAUGUUUGAAGCAUCUGGUGGGAACAGUCUCGGACAGACAGAGGUGAAGUCCACCUGCCGCAGCCUGGCCAAGGGGAAGGCCCUCCGCGAGAGCAUCUCCCAGGAAGAGUAAUAUUCCUGUCAUCUUCCAGUGAGGAGGUAGAGGAUGGCCCUCCUUGCCUUUAUCUCUUCUGGGCAUGUGGAGCCAACGUCCACCCACUGGGACCUACCCUGUGGUGUCCAGAAGGUUUCUUGGGGCCUGGAUCCAGGAGUUGGUGCCCCCCUUCCUCCCUGGGGAGGCUUCCUCCACCAGUGUCGGCUGGAGUUGGUGGGUAAAUACCUCGGCUCCCUCAUCCCUCUUAUGAGAUGGCUCAGAGGCAGAGGAAAACCCAAAUUGCGUAGGAUCUCGCCCACCUCGCUGCAAGUCAGUUCAGUAAACGCUCACCACAGCCCUGCUGGCUGGCCCAACCUGUCGCCAAACACAGGAGAGGCACGGAAGAGGUGGCUGGCUGGCCUUGCUUUGGGAGCUUCAGCUUCACCUUCACAGCUUCAUGCAUCACCUCAGGGGAGCCCAGAGGAGCCUGCUACACUUUGUUUGGCCUCCAGGACCUUCCUCAGAAAUCUCAGCGGGUGCCUCUGUGACCCCUCCAUGAAGACUCCAACAUCACACACUCCUGCAGAGCCAGCACCACAUGGAUGCUACCAAGGUCUGCUGCCAGCCCAUGCAAUACCCGGGUCCCCUGAAAUCAUGGCUGCAAUGAGCUCUGCAUGGUGAAACAACUUUUUAGGAGCUCCCAGUGUGAGCAAGAUACACCCAUGACCUCUUCUCAAAGGAAUUUUCCCUUUGAGAGCCUUGAACCCACAAAGGGUGUGGUCCUGAAAAUUCCUGGGAUGUCCUCAAGACAUUUCCUAUUGUGCAAAGUACUCAGCAUUUCUGUAAGAGCUAUAAUCUCAUCAAUAAGCCCACCUUCCUUGGCCCUAGCUUCAUAUGCACUUUUCUGGUCAAGUCCAGUUUCCCAUCUGAAACCUCUUGAGCACGGUCCACAUUUGUACCUGCAGUCGAGUCUCCUAAGCUCCCACCAGAGUUACCCACGAAGCUCUGUCGACAACAUUCUAAAGCUUUUCCAGACUGCCUUUCCAAACUUUUCCAAAGGGUUCUGGACCCCAGAGUCAGGGGAAUCCCAGCAAUGACCCAACUUCCUGGGACCAAUUUCUGGUUUAGUUAGUUUUGUGUCACUGUGAACAAAAAUACCUCCCAAGAAACACUCAGAAGAAAAAGUUUACUUGGGGCUCAGUUUCUGAGGUCUCCAUCCAUAUAUAGCUGACUCCACGGGGGCUCUGACCCUAGAUGAGAAAGUACCUCUUGCGGGAAGGGACCAGCAGAGGAAAGAUGUUCAGCUUCUGGCAGAACCACAAAGUAGAGGCAGGAGAAGGGGGCACAGGGAAGGUGCACCUUCCCAGGGCACACUCCCAGGGACCCACCUCCACCAGUCAAGCCCCCCCACCUGGAGACACCACCCAGUCUUAGAUUGUGGUCUAAUAAUGAAGUCAUUUUAUCUUCUCUGAACAUUCCAGUCCCAACAGGAGUUUUUUUUUGGGGGGAAACCUCCUUUCUAAACCAUAAACACAUCAUUUUAAUUUUUAUAGCAUGUUAGCAAUUACAUGCUUAAAACUUAAUUUACAAAGUGAAACUUGAUUUUAAAAAACUUUUCAAAAUUACAAAACUUUACCGGAGACAUCAAUGAUGGCUUAAUGAAGGAACUGGCAGAUUACGGUCCUAUAGGGACAGGCUCCCUACUCCAGUUACAUCAGUUCUUUCUAAAUUAACUGAUUCAUUCAAUACAUUUGGAAACAACAGCUCUACCUAUAAAAUCUGACAGGCAUUCUCACGUUCCUAAGGAAAAUCAAAUGUUCUAGGAUUGUUGGAAGAAUUUUGUAGGGAAAAAAACCCAGGGGCUUAUGUUAUCAAGAUAUACCAUGAAAAUCAAGUGACUAAAGUGCACUUAAAAUAUGUUAAUUGUAUUUUAUAUUACAUGAAAAAAGAUAGAUGCAUCUGGAAAGGAGUGGAGAAUCUGGAAAUGGACCCACGUGUGUUUAAAAAUUUACAAAAUUGUAAAAAUAAACAAAAAAACCCUUAUUCUACAAUAUUAAUGCAACUAAUUGCAACUGGGUUUGAUUGAAAUCUAUUCAUUUUGAAAGCAAAAUUUUACAAGUAUAAGAAUAAAAUGCAGAAUAAUUUCCAUAGGAUUGGAUAAUACAUACUUGGCCACCCAGGAGAGAAAAACCAAGAACCAACAAAGAAAAAGAAUAACCCGAUUUUACUACCCUACAAUUUAAAAGUCACCAGGAAUAUAGUGAUUUCAAUAUCCUAGUAACAAACAUAAACUAAAGACAGAAGAAAACGGCUGGGGUGAAGCUUAGUUGUAGAGCACUUGCUUCAAAUGCAUAGGGCUGUGGGUUCCGUCCCCAGCACUGCAUUAAAAAUAUAGAAAGAAAAAUUUUACAACAUGAUUAUAUUUUUACAUCCUAGAAAUAAAUCUAAUAAAAUGUGUGUAAGAUUUCCAUACCAGAAAAUGUAAAAUAUUAUUAUUAAUCAUCAUCCUUAUAUUAUAUAUUAUUUUGAAUAAAUUAAGAUUUUAAUAAAUGGAUUUCUGUGCUGUGUUCUUGGGUUGGAGUUUAGCUAUAUCAGUUCUCCCCAAAUGAUUUGUAUAUUUAUUCAAUUUCAAUAAAAACAUCAGGAUUCUCUCUCUCUCUCUCUCUCUCUCUCUCUCUCUCUCUCUCUUUGGAGGAAAGUGACAUAUUGACUUAAGUUUUAAUGAAACUCUGAAGGCCUGAGAAUAGUUGAGAUAAUCCUUGAAAAGAAGUAGAUAAAGGACUUAUUGUAUUGGUUAUCCAAACUUUUUUUUAAUAUUUAUUUUUUAGUUUUUUAGGUGGACCCAAUAUCUUUAUUUCAAUUUUAUGUGGUGCUGAGAAUCAAACCCAGUACCUCAUGCAUGCAAGGUGAGCGUGCUACCACUUGAGCCACAUCCCCAGCCCAAGACAGGGCCUUGCUAAGUUGUUUCAGGUCUCGCUAAGUUGCUGAGGCUGGCUUUGAACUUGCCAUCCUCCUGCCUCAGCCUCCUGAGUCACUGGGAUUACAGGCGUACACACACGCUGCCCAUAAACUUGAUCCGGGACCAAAGGCACACUGUGGCUGGGAAAUCAGAAGUCAUGUCCCUUUGAUAAACACAGCUGCAUCAGCUGGACAGCCAUAGAGAGAAUAUGACAAGUGACCUCACACUACCCGACCCAUAUACACAGAGCCAUCCUCGGCUGCCAGGUGAAAAGAAAACAAUAAAGCUUCCAAGGCAAACAUCACAGAAUAUUCUUAUAACCUCAGGGUAGAAAAGACUUCUUAAAUCAAAUAUCAAAAGUACUCCCAUCAAAGAAGAUGGAUAAAUUGAGCUACAUUAAAAUGAAAACGUUUGUUCAUUAAAAGACAUCGUAAAGAGGCAAGGAUAAAUCACAGAGAGGGAGAAUAUAUUUAUAACACAAAUAACCAAUAAACAACUUGUUCCCAGAAUAUAUAAAGAACUGCAAAUCAAUACAAAAUGACGCAUAACUGUGCCAGUUAUUAAUUUACUGCCUCUUGGCUCCAAAUUUUCCCUAUUUAUUCCUGCUUUGUAAUACUGGCAGUGGACUCUGACGCCGAAUUUCUGCUUUUCCAGCUGACUCUAUGUCAGGCUCUGUCAACAGGGGGCACUGAAGGAAAUUGCAAAGAUGGAGGAGGAAGAAGGUUUGUUUUCUGUCCCUAAUUUUUUCCAUGCAUGCAAACAUUGCAGCUCAGGUGGAUUUCCAGAGCACUUCCGGGGUAGUGCAUGACCCCUGUAGAUCUGGGGCAGCCCCAGCAAUUUCAUCUUUAUUACAGAGGCAUGGAGCAGGUUUCUGCAGCAGUUUCAUCAUCUGGAAGCUGGAAUCUCACUGCAUCUCAGCCUUGAAGAACCUCUUUUCUAAACUGCCACGAGUCUUCCUAUUCCCCUUCUCCUCUGCCCUAGGGGUGGUUACUUUCUGCAGUUGCCACCCCAUGUAUCUUACAAUCCAGCUUUUCUUCUUUCAGUCGUUAGCCACCCCUUAACCUUAGGAAAUAUCCAUAAUAUUUUUCUUUGUUUAAAUUACUGGGUGUGUUGUAUUUCUCCUAAAGGGCCCCCCUGACCAAUACCAGAACCCAACAGAAAAAAAAAAUGAGAGAGACUCAUCAGAAUACAGAA